GACGAACGCUGGCGGCGUGCUUAACACAUGCAAGUCGAACGGUAGGGCCCUUCGGGGUACACGAGUGGCGAACGGGUGAGUAACACGUGGGUGAUCUGCCCUGCACUUCGGGAUAAGCCUGGGAAACUGGGUCUAAUACCGGAUAGGACUCCUGGCUUCAUGGUUGGGGGUGGAAAGCUCUUGCGGUGUGGGAUGGGCCCGCGGCCUAUCAGCUUGUUGGUGGGGUAAUGGCCUACCAAGGCGACGACGGGUAGCCGGCCUGAGAGGGUGACCGGUCACACUGGGACUGAGAUACGGCCCAGACUCCUACGGGAUGCAGCAGUGGGGAAUAUUGCACAAUGGGCGCAAGCCUGAUGCAGCGACGCCGCGUGCGGGACGAAGGCCUUCGGGUUGUAAACCGCUUUUAUUGCCGAGGAAUUUUGACUGUAGGCGAUGAAUAAGAGGUUGCUAACUCUGUGCCAGCAGCCGCGGUAA
rnacentral:rRNA from 1 species